rnacentral:rRNA from 1 species
AGCAGCCGCGGUAAUUCCAGCUCCAAUAGCGUAUAUUAAAGUUGUUGCAGUUAAAAAGCUCGUAGUUGAAUUUCGGGGUUCUACCGUUGGUCGGGCUUUGUCUGUACUGGCGUGUAGAAUUUCUACCUUCUGGGGAACCAUCAUGUUAUUAAUUUAACGUGGUGGGGAACCAGGACCUUUACCUUGAAAAAAUUAGAGUGUUCAAAGCAGGCUUAUGUCUGAAUACAUUAGCAUGGAAUAAUAGAAUAGGACGGUGGUCCUGUUUUGUUGGUUUCUGAAUCACCGUAAUGAUUAAUAGGGAUAGUUGGGGGCAUUAGUAUUCAAUUGUCAGAGGUGAAAUUCUUGGAUUUAU